AUUGAACGCUGGCGGUAGGCUUAAAACAUGCAAGUCGAGCGAGCGGCGGACGGGUGAGUAAUGUCUGGGAAACUGCCUGAUGGAGGGGGAUAAAUACUGGAAACGGUAGCUAAUACCGCAUACCAUCAGAUGUGCCCAGAUGGGAUUAGCUAGUAGGUGGGUCAAUGGCUGACCUAGGCGACGAUCCCUAGCUGGUCUGAGGGGAUGACCAGUCAACCGUGAACGGAAACACGGUCCAGCCUCCUACGGGAGGCAGCGGUGGGGAAUAUUGUCCAAUGGGCGCAAGCCUGAUGCAUCCAUGCCGCGUGUUGGAAGAAGGCCUUCGGGUUGUAAAGCACUUUCAGCUGGGAGGCGUUACUCACAGAAGAAGCACCGGCUAACUCCGUGCCAGCAGCCGCGGUAAUAC
rnacentral:rRNA from 1 species